rnacentral:sRNA from 1 species
AUUUACAACUCAUCCGCCUCGGCUUGUGUGCGCCGUAUGCACUUAUCUGACGACUGCUCGCUACUUGCUGUUAGCC